AUCUUUUCUGAAACACAAACUAUCACUCACCCCCCAAAUCCAUCCAACUUUUCUUUUAUUUCCUUCUAUGUCCUUCCUCUAUUGUUGAACCAUCCAAGCUCCAAAUCUUCAUUUUUCUUUGAAAUUUCUUUAGUAAAAACUAAAAAGAAGACUAGUGAGCAACUUUAUUUCAUGAGGAAAUUUCCAUAGAUGGGUUAAAAGAAAGAAAUACAUGAGUUAGGGUUUUGGGCUUUUAAAAAGUUAAGGUAAGAAUGAUGGAAAUUCUUUUAGCAUACAUGUUUAUUUUCAUAAUAUAGCAUAGAAAAGUUAUUUGAUUUUUAGUUUUAACUUAUAAAUGUUAUAUGUUGUUAUGAAACUGAAGAAAAAGAGAAGAUGUUUGAGGACAAAAGUGAAGGGGAAGGAAAAGAAGUGGCCAAUGAGUAGAAGAGAAGAAAAACUCAUCAUCCAAAUUUUGGUUGUAAAUACUUCAAGUAGUAAUUUUGUUUAAGUUAUGUUAAUUAAAUAAUUAUGUUAAUUAAGUAGUUUAAUUACUAAAUUAAUGAUAUCAUAAUAAGUAUUUAGUAGGGGUAAGUAAUGUGAAUGUUAUAAAUUUUGACUUUAGGGUACCAUUAUAUGAUAUAUUGAGGUGAUAAUGAAAAAGGACUAAAUUGAAAUAAAUUAAAAUAUGUUAUGAUAUUAUGAAUAUAUGGAAAGUGAGUUUAAAUGAAGUGAUGUAAAAAUUAUAGUGUUGUAUGUGGUACAAAUGAAGAGAAUUUACAAGUUUUAGUGUUAUUAUUGUGAUAAGGACUAAAUUGUGAAAAAUAUAAAGUUAUAUUAUUUUAUGUCAAGUGAAUGAAUAAAAAAACUAAUAAUAAGAAAAUCCCAUGUAGACGAGUCCGGAACUAUUGGGAUACUGAUGGCAUGUCAUUAAGGAAAAAUUAG
rnacentral:lncRNA from 1 species